GGAUGAGUAAAGCGGCGAAUGGGUGAGUAACGCGUGAGAAUCUACCUUUUAGUGAAGAAUACCUUUGGGAAACUAAAGUUAAUGCUGCAUACGUCUCGCAAGAGAGAAAGAUGGCCUCUUUGCUGUCGCUAAAAGAUGAGCUUGCGUUCUAUUAGUUAGUUGGUGGGGUAAAGGCCUACCAAGACGAUGAUGGAUAACCGGCCUGAGAGGGUGUACGGUCACAUUGGAACUUAGACACGGUCCAAACUCCUACGGGAGGCAGCAGUGAGGAAUAUUGCACAAUGGGCGAAAGCCUGAUGCAGCGACGCCGCGUGGAGGAUGACGGUCUUCGGAUUGUAAACUCCUGUUAAGUGGAAAAAAAGAAUCGUUGUUAAUAGCAGCGAGAGAUGAUGGUACCACUAGAGAAAGCACCGGCUAACUUCGUGCCAGCAGCCGCGGUAAUACGAGGGGUGCAAACGUUAUUCGGAAUCACUGGGCGUAAAGGGUGUGUAGACGGCGAAACAAGUCAGUUAUAAAAUCUCUUGGCUUAACCAAGAACCUGUAACCGAAACUGUUUUGCUUGAGGAUGGAAGAGAGAAGCGGAAUUCUCGGAGUAGCGGUAAAAUGCGUAGAUCUCGAGAGGAACACCGAUGGCGAAGGCAGCUUCUUGGUCCAUUUCUGACGUUGAGGCACGAAAGCGUGGGGAGCAAACAGGAUUAGA
rnacentral:rRNA from 1 species